rnacentral:rRNA from 1 species
UGGGGGAUAUUGCACAAUGGGCGAAAGCCUGAUGCAGCGACGCCGCGUGGGGGAUGAAGGCUUUCGGGAUGUAAACCUCUUUCGCUAUCGAACAAGGCCCGCUUAGGGUGGGUUGAGGGUAGGUGGAGAAGAAGCGCCGGCUAACUACGUGCCAGCAGCCGCGGUAAUACGUAGGGCGCGAGCGUUGUCCGGAAUUAUUGGGCGUAAAGGGCUUGUAGGCGGCUUGUUGCGCCUGCUGUGAAAACGCGGGGCUUAACUUCGCGCGUGCAGUGGGUACGGGCAGGCUUGAGUGUGGUAGGGGUGACUGGAAUUCCAGGUGUAGCGGUGGAAUGCGCAGAUAUCUGGAGGAACACCGAUGGCGAAGGCAGGUCACUGGGGCAUUACUGACGCUGAGGAGCGAAAGCAUGGGUAGCGAACAGG